rnacentral:lncRNA from 1 species
UUACUCGUUUGUUUUGCGACUGAUGAAAUGCCGGCAUAUAUAUAUUUUCAACAUUUGACAUAACCCUGUAUGUUUUGCAGGGACAACCCAGGACGUGCAUUUCUCAGCACCCAGUCAACUGCCAAAAGUGACUCAAACACAGGCCACCAGUGGAACUCGGCUGUACCACUGCAAUGCUGCGGGAAUUGCCUUCACCAGCGGCUUUGCAACAGCUGUUUCGCAGCAUGUCGGAGACAAUGCCUAUGAAAUUAUUGGCCCUGAUCAUGAGAGCCCUUAAGGGGCAAACAACAUCUCUGUUGCAGAAGUGAGCCCGAUACCACUUGGAAGUUACCAUGACAGAUGACACGGCAGCAAUAGAUACAGAGACUUCCAUGUCUACUGCAGCUGCAACAGUGUACGAGGCAAGCAGCAGCGCGUCAGCAUCAGCAGCAGUGUCAGAAGGAACCACACCAGGCCUGGUAGAGCAACAUGUGUGCUAUCACUGACUUUUUUUGUAGUGGAUACAACUCAUUUGCUCAACAUACAAAAGCUUUUCACCACGACUGUGAGCCAGUGUUAUCGUGCAGCAAGUGCAAGACUAAGUUAGGUGUUAUAACACAGUACAAGCAUCACUUUAA